rnacentral:lncRNA from 1 species
GUAUUCCUGAGGCAUCUGCGGCACCUCUAACUCCACUCAACCUGUUCAGAGCUGAACUGGAGCCAACAGACACACACCACACACACACACACACACACACACACACACACACACACACACACACACACACACACACACACACUCAUGCAUGUUCGUCCUUGCAACCUCCCUCUCUCUCUUUCUCUCAAUCCCCGUUCCCUGUCUUUCAAUCUCUCUCCCUCUCUCUCUCAUUCUCUGAUCCCUCUCUUUCAUUUCUCCCUCUCUCAAUCCCUGUUCCCUCUCGUUCCCUCUCACUCUCUUCCUCUCUCUCCUCUCUGUCUCUCCAUCUCUCUCUCAAUCCCUGUUCCCUCUCUUUCCCUCUCUUUCACUCUCUUCCUCUCUCUCCUCUCUGUCUCUCUAUCUCUCUCUCAUUCUCUGUUCCCUCUCUUUCACUCUCUUUCAUUCUCCGUUCUCCCUUAUUCACACUCUCCCACUCUUCCUCUCUCUCUGUCUCUCUCUUCCCUUUGUUUCUUUCUUUCGUUCUUCCUCUCUCUGUCUCUGUCAUCCUCUCUCUCUCCCCUCUGAUUUUCUCAGUUUCACUCCCUCACUCACUCUCUCUCUCUCUCUCUCUCUCUCUCUCUCUCUCUCUCUCUCUCUCUCUGUUUGUCUUCCACUCUCUCCAUUCCUCCAUGUUCUUCCACUUUCAGGCAAUAAACAGUGAUGCGCACACAAUCUUCGCCAACUUCAGAACUCUCGCCAUGACAAUAAAGCUUUUGAAAUUGAAAAACCGAUACAAACAAUCUCUCUCAAUCACAAGAGGUCACUUACAGACAAACACUGAAGGUAAAGGACGCCAAAAUUAGCCCACGCUGGCAAAAAAAAAAAAAAACCCAAAAAAAACGAAACAAGAACAGACGACAGAGGGCAUGAAAGAAUAAACGAGGAUGAAAGGAUGGAGGGUGAAGUGAUGACCAUGAAGGGCGGUGAGGGGUAGAGAUGGCGUGAUGGUGAGAUGGGGAGAUGAAAAGAGGUAGAGAGGGAGGGGUGGAGAUGGCGUGAUGGUGAGAUGG